UGACCUUUACCUCAAAGAAGUUUAUCUUCUAGGAUUGACUCAGGACUGGAGCAUUUGUAACCAGCUAGGGGACUUUCAAGCCUCGGCCUGGGCUGCCGUGUUCAGAACACGCCGCUGCCAUCACACCCAGCUGGCAACGCUGCGCCCUCUGCUGGGCCUAAGGUCAUAGGUCGUUCCCAGGAAGGGAUGACUUGGUGUUAAGCACUCAUUCUCCCAUCCAGUGCCAGAUUCAGGGCAGAGGGUCCAGAGAAAGUCCCUGCUGCCUCAGCGCGGGUUGGAAAGUCUGGUGUUUCCCCUUCCCGCACUGGGCUCCACGCCCCCCCUGACUAACGCCUUCCUUAUUGUAGCUUUGUGCCAAGGGUCACUUGUGGUUCCCACUAGUAUAAGUCCUGGAGGCCCCAUUGUCCAUCCUGUGUGCCCUCCCCCAGCCUGUGGUUCGGUCCUUUGCCCUUGAAAGCACCAUAUGUGCUCUGCUGUGUUGAAUCAGACAUUUGCAAAGAGCCGGAAACCUUGAAAGAGAAACCAAAGGACACAGCAAGGUCACAGAGUAGAGUGGUUAAGAGCUGGCGGGCGAACCAAACAGGCCUGGAUUUGAAUUCUGUCUCCAUCACUUACUGUUAUGCAUCUGGGACAAGAUACCUAACCUCUCUGAGCCUCAGUUUACUCAACUGUAAACUGUCAGAGCCUCCGCUGACCCAGGCCGCCCGCCAUUCACAGCAAAGAGACAGAAGACCCAGGACAGCUUAAAAUGCCAGUCCUCCAGUCCAUUGAUCUUUAAGGAACAAUCAAAUUGAGCCAAAGGAAAGGAGUUCCGAUACUAGAAUUCCAGGCUUCUCUCUUGAGGGCCCAAGAGGUAUUAUGGGACCAGGCAGAAGAUCAUUUCUCCAGUGACACUUGAAGUCAGGAGUGUGAAGUCUUUAAAAUGACUUCCUACUGCCUUGCCCAUGGCGUACUAGAAAGAAACUGGGGCCAACUGGACCUGUGGACAUAGGAAGCGAGCCAGGAGGGGGAGGCCAAAGGAAAUUCGCGAAGAAGGUGCCGGAGUGCUGCUCCUCCAGAAUUUUUUACAUGCUUGUGGAUGCCACGGGAGCUCUUCAGGAAGCAGUGCUGAGGCAUCCUCUGCCUUGCUCCCCGUCCUUCCCUGCCUCCCUUCACCUUUUCCCUCGCCAUCAUUGCGCUGAGGUUGCCCUUUCCGAAUGAAGCACCAGCUUCAGGCUGUUUCCUAGGCAACUCUGGCUUUCUGGUUUUGUUUUUACUUAUUUAUUUCAUUAAU
rnacentral:lncRNA from 1 species